ACCAUCAUUGUCAUCAUCAUCAUCAAGGUAAUCUGGUAUGCCAUCACUGUCUGAGUCUUUUUCCAUAAAAUCUGGAAUACCAUUACCAUCUUUGUCAGUGUCAUUAAUAUCUGGCACACCAUCAUUAUCAUCAUCAGCAUCAAGAUAAUCAGGGACUCCAUCUCCAUCAGUAUCAUCUUCUUCAACAUCUGGAAUACCAUCCCCAUCAGCAUCAGCAUCUUCAUCAUCAGGAAUGCCAUCAUUGUCAUCA